rnacentral:lncRNA from 1 species
CCUCUUCUUCCCUCUCCCUCAUCUAGUGUUCCGAUUGGGAAGGCCGAACCAUCUCGAUUUGCAGACAGUGCGGCUCGGAACAUCCUGAACCGUCCGAUUCAUGACGUUUCAGCAAAUCAUGCUGAAUUGAAAAAUAUUUUCGAUUAUAGCAGUAUUCAUUGCUUAAAGAUGUUAGAGGAGGCAGAUGCAGAAGUUACAACAUUGAUUA